UUAAAUUGAAGAGUUUGAUCAUGGCUCAGAUUGAACGCUGGCGGCAGGCCUAACACAUGCAAGUCGAGCGGUAGCACAGAGAGCUUGCUCUCGGGUGACGAGCGGCGGACGGGUGAGUAAUGUCUGGGAAACUGCCUGAUGGAGGGGGAUAACUACUGGAAACGGUAGCUAAUACCGCAUAACGUCGCAAGACCAAAGUGGGGGACCUUCGGGCCUCAUGCCAUCAGAUGUGCCCAGAUGGGAUUAGCUAGUAGGUGGGGUAAUGGCUCACCUAGGCGACGAUCCCUAGCUGGUCUGAGAGGAUGACCAGCCACACUGGAACUGAGACACGGUCCAGACUCCUACGGGAGGCAGCAGUGGGGAAUAUUGCACAAUGGGCGCAAGCCUGAUGCAGCCAUGCCGCGUGUGUGAAGAAGGCCUUCGGGUUGUAAAGCACUUUCAGCGGGGAGGAAGGCGUUAAGGUUAAUAACCUUGGCGAUUGACGUUACCCGCAGAAGAAGCACCGGCUAACUCCGUGCCAGCAGCCGCGGUAAUACGGAGGGUGCAAGCGUUAAUCGGAAUUACUGGGCGUAAAGCGCACGCAGGCGGUCUGUCAAGUCGGAUGUGAAAUCCCCGGGCUCAACCUGGGAACUGCAUUCGAAACUGGCAGGCUAGAGUCUUGUAGAGGGGGGUAGAAUUCCAGGUGUAGCGGUGAAAUGCGUAGAGAUCUGGAGGAAUACCGGUGGCGAAGGCGGCCCCCUGGACAAAGACUGACGCUCAGGUGCGAAAGCGUGGGGAGCAAACAGGAUUAGAUACCCUGGUAGUCCACGCCGUAAACGAUGUCGAUUUGGAGGUUGUGCCCUUGAGGCGUGGCUUCCGGAGCUAACGCGUUAAAUCGACCGCCUGGGGAGUACGGCCGCAAGGUUAAAACUCAAAUGAAUUGACGGGGGCCCGCACAAGCGGUGGAGCAUGUGGUUUAAUUCGAUGCAACGCGAAGAACCUUACCUGGUCUUGACAUCCACAGAACUUUCCAGAGAUGGAUUGGUGCCUUCGGGAACUGUGAGACAGGUGCUGCAUGGCUGUCGUCAGCUCGUGUUGUGAAAUGUUGGGUUAAGUCCCGCAACGAGCGCAACCCUUAUCCUUUGUUGCCAGCGGUUAGGCCGGGAACUCAAAGGAGACUGCCAGUGAUAAACUGGAGGAAGGUGGGGAUGACGUCAAGUCAUCAUGGCCCUUACGACCAGGGCUACACACGUGCUACAAUGGCAUAUACAAAGAGAAGCGACCUCGCGAGAGCAAGCGGACCUCAUAAAGUAUGUCGUAGUCCGGAUUGGAGUCUGCAACUCGACUCCAUGAAGUCGGAAUCGCUAGUAAUCGUAGAUCAGAAUGCUACGGUGAAUACGUUCCCGGGCCUUGUACACACCGCCCGUCACACCAUGGGAGUGGGUUGCAAAAGAAGUAGGUAGCUUAACCUUCGGGAGGGCGCUUACCACUUUGUGAUUCAUGACUGGGGUGAAGUCGUAACAAGGUAACCG
rnacentral:rRNA from 1 species